GAGCAUUCUGGUUGCGGAGAAGCCGUACUGUCAGGUAUGGUGGAGCGUCCAGAAAAGCACAUGUAGGCAUGAGUAACGAUAAAAUGGGUGCGAAACCCAUUCGCCGAUAGACUAAGGUUUCCAAUUCAACGCUAAUCGGAAUUGGGUUAGGCGGGACCUAAGGGAUAGCCGACAGGUGUACCCGAUGGCAAGCCAGUUGAUAUUCUGGCCCCCGGUUGUAGAAGUGAUGCAGGGACACAGGAAUGAAAGUACCGCGAGCGGACGGAAGUGCUCGUUAAAGCCCGUACCUAGUGGUUGAGUAGUUAAGUACGCUCGACUAGGGGAAAGGUGAUAGUACUGCACGGCCUUCGGGCCACGCAGAUAGUGUACCUAAGGACUGUCAAGAAAAGCUGCUAAACGUUGUAUCUACAUUCGGCCCGUACCGCAAACCGACACAGGUAGUCAAGGAGAGAAUCCUGAGGCGCUCGAGUGAAUCACGGCCAAGGAACUCGGCAAAAUGGUCCUGUAACUUCGGGAGAAGGGACGCUUCCUCUAGUGAUAGAGAAGCCGCAGUGAAAAGACCCAAGCGACUGUUUAACAAAAACACAUGGCUUUGCUAACGCGUAAGCGGACGUAUAAGGCCUGACACCUGCCCGGUGCUGGAAGGUUAAGAGGGGAGCUUAGUCGCAAGGCGAAGGCUUGAAUCGAAGCCCCAGUAAACGGCGGCCGUAACUAUAACGGUCCUAAG
rnacentral:rRNA from 1 species